rnacentral:rRNA from 1 species
UACGUAGGGGGCAAGCGUUGUCCGGAUUUAUUGGGCGUAAAGAGCGUGUAGGCGGCCAAACAGGUCAGCUGUGAAAACUCGAGGCUCAACCUCGAGACGUCGGUUGAAACCGUUUGGCUAGAGUCCGGAAGAGGAGAGUGGAAUUUACGGUGUAGCAGUGAAAUGCGUAGAUAUCGUAAGGAAGACCAGUGGCGAAGGCGGAUCUCUGGACAGUUACUGACACUGAGGCACGAAGGCCAGGGGAGCAAACGGG